rnacentral:rRNA from 1 species
UUUUUUUUUUUCAAGCAGAAGACGGCAUACGAGAUACGAAUUCGUGACUGGAGUUCAGACGUGUGCUCUUCCGAUCUGUUUCCCAGUCACGAUACCAUCUAGCUAAUAGGACGCAUGCCCAUCUUGAGCAUCAGCAUUCGCAGCCCAUAUAGUAGCUUUAUCUACCAGUUUGCUACGAUCCUUGCCAUAGGUCAAUUCGGCAAGACGUCUUUCAUCUGUGGAGCCUUCUAGGAACCAGAGUAGUUCACCAACAACUGCUUUCCAUGCAAGACGUUUAGUAGUUACAGCAGGAAACCCAUCUUGUAGGUUAAAUCUCAUCUGGUAGCCAAAAACUGCUUUGGUCCCAACUCCUGUCCUGUCUUUGACUUCUUCACCGUGACUCAGAACAUGCUUUAUUAAUUCUUGAUAUUGCUUCACUGAGUUAUCUCCGAAACAACAAAUGUGCAUUCUUUUUUAAAGGGAGAAUUUUUAAAGGUUUCACGGAAAGCAUUCUUGAAAUUUUCAACACCAUCUUCAGUAAGAGGGCCGAACCGAUAUUGCAUCUUGUGAACACCAGUCAUAGAUGGUUGAUAUUCUUUUUCAUAUGAAGAAAAUCUAAGGAGACGAAUCACCACAUCAAAAUUAUCCUCAAUCGGAAUAGUCACAGUUAAAAUGAAAUAUUCUUGUUUCAUGCACGUCCCCAUAUACUAAAAUUGCAGUCUGUAGUCUUAUUUACCUUAGCGAGUUCAACGAAAUUCUUAAAAAUGACAGGAUCAACAAAGGCGUCACAAUCAUAGGAUCCCUUGAACUGAGUCAGAUAGAUGUUAUCACAAUGAGCAAUACACUGUGUAUAGAUAUUAGCACCACCUAUAAUCCAAAUCUUUUUAUCUGGGUGUUUUUCUUUCAACAAAUUAAUUGCUUUGUUAAUAUCACCCGAAAAGACAUAAUCUGGUUCACCUUCAAUAUCAUCAACUCUAUGAGGCUGUGCUCGAAAGAGAACCUGCACACUGGUGCUGGAAGGUUAAGGAAGGGUGUUCGGCGCAAGCCAAAGCUCCUGACUGAAGCCCCAGUAAACGGCGGCCGUAACUAUAACGGUCCUAAGGUAGCGAAAUUCCUUGUCGGGUAAGUUCCGACCUGCACGAAUGGUCUAAUGAGUUGUACACUGUCUCCUCCACGAGCCCGGUGAAAUUGUAGUAUCGGUGAAGAUGCCGGUUACCCGCCACGGGACGGAAAGACCCCGUGAACCUUCACUACAACUUUGCAUUGAUUUUGAGCAACAAAUGUGUAGGAUAGUUGGGAGACUAUGAAGCAGUGUCGCCAGGCAUUGUGGAGUCAUCGUUGAAAUACCAACCUUUUGUUGCUUAGAACCUAACCCUGAACAAGGGGACAUUGCAUGGUGGGUAGUUUGACUGGGGUGGUCGCCUCCUAAAAAGUAACGGAGGCUCGCAAAGGUACCCUCAGUACGGUUGGUAAUCGUACGCAGAGCGCAUUAGUAAAAGGGUGCUUGACUGUGAGACAAACACGUCGAGCAGGAGCGAAAGCUGGCUAAAGUGAUCCGGUGGUUCUGUAUGGAAGGGCCAUCGCUCAAAGGAUAAAAGGUACUCCGGGGAUAACAGGCUGAUCUCCCCCAAGAGCUCAUAUCGACGGGGAGGUUUGGCACCUCGAUGUCGGUUCGUCACAUCCUGGGGCUGGAGAAGGUCCCAAGGGUUCGGCUGUUCGCCGAUUAAAGUGGCACGUGAACUGGGUUCAGAACGUCGCAAGACAGUUCGGUCCCUAUCUGUGGUGGGCGCUAGUAAAUUGAGAGGACGUGACCUUAGUACGAGAGGACCGGGUCGCAUGUACCGCUGGUGUAUCUGUUAUGCCGCCAGGUGUAAUGCAGAGUAGCUAUGUACAGCCAGGAUAAACGCUGAAAGCAUCUAAGCGUGAAACCUUCCUCAAGAUGAGUUUACUUUUAAGGGUCGUAGAAGACUACUACGUUGAUGGGCUGCAGGGGUGAUUAUCGUGACUGGGAAAC